CAAUCCUAUUGACUUGAGAGAGCAAUUUGGGUUAGACUACUUGGCAAUUGAAAAACAUCAAGUGGGUAAAUUAGAGUGUGUGCCAUAAUAAUCCCGAUCAAUUAAGCAAGAUUGAUAGAUAUACCUAUUUAAUUGAACACCAUGGUUGAAAUGAAUCCUUCAAAUUCCGGCAGUCUGAAAUGUGAUCAAGUUCGAAGACUAUUAAACAUGUGUACAUUGCACCUGAUGCUUUAGCAAGGGGACGUGAGGCAAAGCUUCAGAGCUUUAGGCUCCUUAAGGUAAGUGUUGAACAAAGAACUACACUUGGCAAAGGUAAAAAUUGUAAUGCAGCAGUUUCUACUCAGAAUGAGCUAGUACAGUAUAAUAGCAUUGUGCCUCCUAGUUUUGAUCCAAUGGAAGACGAUUUUCCCCUCCUUCAAGAAGCUGAAGUGAUGCAAGACACUCAGAGAAGUGAAAUAAGUCCAUGUGAAUCUGAAAAGGCAAAAAAGAUGAGAGGAAAGACCAGGUGUAAAAAUGUCUUAGCACUCAAAGCUGGAGAGAAGUUGAGAGUUACUUUUUACCAUAAUGGAGUUGUUGGGAAGCAUCAUGCCACAUUUGCAAGACACUUAGGUAUGUUAGAUCAUGAUCCUAAUAUGUGCCCGCUGCGAGUACACCCAUGGGCGGACAUCAAAGAAGAUAAGCUGGAAUGCAUGUGGCUAGCUGUUACUGUAAGGAUUUAAAGCAUUUCUUGAUUUGUUUUUCGAGCUUGAUGCAUGUCAACUAACUUGUAUGGGAUAUAUUUGCCUGCCACUGCAUUAAGCUUGAUGUGUUUGUACAACACUCCAUUAUUUUGAAACUUUUUUGGUUUUGUUGCUGGUUGCCAGCAUGGAUGAUUCUUGGUUAUUUGCUCUUUUCUGGAUUCGUGAUGUUUGGUUCAUUUCUGGUGUCCCAAAUACGUUUGACAUGCAUUAAAUCCACAAAGUUGAGAACAUGUAAUGACAUUCUUUUCCUCUGGUCAAAAGAGGUCAAUGAAGCUGAUUAUGAAAAAGCUGCAACAGUAUGAACAGGCCUCGGGUCAGAAAAUUAGCAAGGACAAAAGUUUCUUCUCACCCCUACUCACACCUCUCAAUCUAUAAGGGACGGAAUUCAGAGAGUGACGGGUUACGAGCACCAUCACUUCCCUUUCAAAUAUCUUGGUUGUCCUAUAUAUUGUGGAAGGAAGAAGCUCAGUUUCUUUGCAGAUAUGGCUACUAGACUUCUGCACAAAAUUCAGGGAUGGCAGGGUAGGCUAUUAUCGGUAGGAGGAAGGGCUACACUGAUUAAACAUGUAUUACAGUCCCAGUAUUUGCAUAUAAUGGCUGCAGUUUCUCCUCCAAAAGCUAUUCUAAAACAAUUGGAGAAGCAAUUUGCAGAUUUCUUUUGGGGGUAUAACGACUCCAAAAAAAAAAAAGUAUCAUUGGAGCACUUGGAACAAGCUGUAUUUCUCAACUGCAGAGGGAGGUGCUGGUUUCAGAAGUUUGGAGGAUAUAGCCAAGACCUUUACUGCUAAAAGGUGGUGGAGGUUGAGAACUUACGAUAAUCUAUGGUCCAAAUUCAUGAUCAAUAAAUAUUGCCCGAGAAGUCAUCCAGUAACCAAGAAAAAACAAUCUGCUGAUUCUAGUUGUUGGAGGGAGCUGAUGGAGAUUAGAAACAAGGUGGAGCCUCAUAUCUUGUGGAGAGUCCAACAAGGAUACCUCUCCUUUUGAUGGGACAAUUGGAGUGGCAUGGGUCAAUUAGCACAAUUGCUGCAUAUUCAAACCCCUGACAAUCUUUUGGUGGAAGAUAGCAUUACAGAAGGAGCAUGGAAUAUUUAUUUCCUUGAGUUAUUGGUCCCUACCAAUAUGGUUCAGCACAUCAUAGAAAUCAAAAUUGGAAAUACUCAAGGAAAGGAUAAAGCAAUAUGGAGAUUGUCUACUGAUGGUCUUUUCUCUUGCUCAACUACCUAUGAUCUUUUAAGACAAAGAGGCAGACAACAGCAAAUAUGGAAGGACACUUGGAUUAAGCACAUCCCUUUCAAAAUCUCAUUCUCAAUGUGGAGGGUCUGGAAGAAAAAAAUUCACAUGGAAGAAUCAGACAACCUCAAAUUUUUAUAUCAGGACUUUGUAUCACAUAGCACCAGCUUACAUCUGCUGGGAAAUCUGGAAAGGUAGACGUGGAGCGAGAUAUGGUAGAGAAUAUCCAACUAUGGAGAGAAUAUGCAAUGAAGUUCUCUUCCAUCUAAAGAUACACUUGAAGAAAGUUGGAGCACAAAUUGAUUUGAGAUGGAACUGGUAUACUCUUUCCAAGGAACUGGACGGAAGAAGACCUUUAACUAUUACACCAGUCUCAUGGGAGAAACAUCUAAGUAGCUAGAUUAAAGUUAAUACAGAUGGGAGCAGUAGUUCAAGAAAUCAGACAGCAGGUAUAGGAGGCAUUGUAAGGGAUAGAAAUUGAGAUUUAAUUAUGGCUUUUUCUAACAAGCUCCAUUUCUGCACUAACAAUCAAGCAGAGAUGCAGGCUGCUUUAUUUGCGGUUAACUGGUGCAAUCAACAGGGAUAUUGUAACAUCAUUUUGGAGUUAGACUCACUAUUGGUGGUAAAUAUGCUAACUGACAAGAAUGGAAUUCCUUGGGAAUUGUCUCAAUGGGUGGAGUAGAUUAAGGAUAGUUUGCAAAUUCAGCAAUACAAAAUCCAACAUUGCUAUAGAGAAGCAAACUCUGUAGCAGAUGUUCUUGCUAAAGCUGUGAGUAACAUGCAAAAUGGAAAUGUUGUUUUUUCCUAUAACUGGAAAGGCCUUCCAAAGGAUGCUAGAGGUUGCUCAAGGAUGGAUCAAAUCCAGAUGCCUAAUUUUAGGAUCAGGAGACAAAGGAAAGGGAAUUUCUUGUAAGGUUAUAUCUACGCUCACAUGUAACUGGGAGCUGUUCUCCCAAUUUUUUUGGAAAUUUAACUUAACCUAAUUGUCUUUGCACUAGGAUCUCUCUCUUUGUUCUUGGAAAUGUCACAGUACAUGAUGUG